GGUUAAAAUAGUAAUUAAUUUCGAUCAUUCUUGGAUUGUUUUUACGUCGCUUACAUUUCAACAACAUCUCAGGACAUGUUAGAGGACAUUUACAGGUGUUUAUAGUUAAAAUAUUAAUAAUUUAACCGUGAGAAAUAUGGCGUAUGCUCACCGUCUGACGAAGCCAGCAAAAGGGGAGGAGGGAGCGCAGCGCGAGGGCCUAGUAGAAACGUUGUGGUGAGUUCACGUGAAGUCAGAAAUUCCAGUGCUUGAUUAAAGACAGGUAAAAUGUGAGUGUUGAAUUAGUAAAUGUGAAGCUGAAAUUAGUUUUAAGUUUUUAAAGCUAAAACAAGUGUUUCAAUUAGUUUAAAAUGGUGGAAAGGUAAACUGAAAUACAGCUAAUAUAGUUAAACUGAAGUGUUAUUGUUAAAGCAGUAUCUAACGUAAUAACAAAGCUGAAUUAAACAAUUUAAGUAUUUAAAGCUCAAACUGAACAUUAAAGCUGCUGAACUGUUUCAUUCUUUUUUUUUUAUUAAUUGUAAAAGGCUGAAAGAACUGAGUUUUGGCAGUUGGAACACAGUCCAUCAUGUGGCUGAGCACCAAAGAGAUGCUUCAUUUUCUGAUCUCUUCUACCUUCAUCUCUAGUCUGUGUGGGUUCUUGCUGUGUGGUUACUCCAGCUUCCUUCUACUGUCCAAAUACAUGCAUGUUAGGUUAAUUGUUGACUCUAAACACUGUCUAGGAGUGAAUUACUUUGUCUCUGUGUUGGUCCUGUGAUGGAUUUGUAAGCUUGUCAGCGUGGACUCUGCCUUUCAACUUUGAAUUGGCUCCAACACCUAACAACGAUGAAUCAGAUAAUAAAGCUAUAAGCCCCGAGAAGCCGUGGGUUACAGGGAUUUUACAACGGCAGAGGGGUGUGCUAAGGCCCGACGCGAACCUUUAAAAAGGUGCUCCUCCAGGGGCUGCCACAUUUUUUCCUCAAUGAAAAAUUUCCCACCCAUACUUAAUGCAACCUCCAGCAGGCCUUCUUUGUUUGUCUCCAAAACCCCAAUGACUUUCACGGCCAUGGCAUCAACUGGAACACUUAAAUUCUGUGGAACACAUAACAUAUACACAUUUCACACCUUCAUGAAGAUAAAAAUUAUAUACACACACACAUCAGGAUUAUAUAUAUAUAUAUAUAUAUACCUGAUCUCUGACGUCUGAUAUUUGAUGGAGGACUUCUGAUAGCAGGUAUCACGUCUCAGAUGUCAGGUAGCUGAUAACUGCUAUCUGACCUCUGACUUCUGAUAACUGCUAUCUGACUUCUGAUAACUGCUAUCUGACUUCUGAUAACUGCUAUCUGACCUCUGACUUCUGAUAACUGCUAUCUGAAUUUAUUUAUUUAUUUAUUUAUGGAGCUGAAGUCAACACCUGAAGUUUUAAAAGUACAAAUAGCAGAGGAGGACAGACAGACAGUCCUGGAAAACUGUUCCCCACUUUUCUGUCUGUCUGUCUGUCCUCCUUGCAUGUCUCCUGCUCUUGUUCUUUCUUAACUUAUCCAGGACUGUCUCUCUGUCCUCCGUAGGAGGAUUUAAAUACUCGACACAUUACCAUCAACCAAUAGUAAGGUGAAGUUUUCAUAUAUGAGUAUAUGUACGUCAGACACUGUACUGACUGAUUUAUCUGGUCAGGACGUCUCUUUCUGCAGCCCUGAAGAGGCGAGCAGGGCUAGAGGACCAUGAUCCAGACAUUAUCAGAGCAGGACACCAGUGUACGGUAGGAUUGCAGGUUCUUUUGUCUUCAGACACUCUUUGUGAGCAGUGGCAGUGCAGUUUCAUUCCAACCAGUCUGCUGGAGCACCGCCCACCCAGCUGGAGCACC